rnacentral:snoRNA from 14 species
UCCCGAUGAUGACACCCGCCGCGGCUGUCUGAGGCAGCUGAGGAAAUUGGUUGAGAUUCUGACGU